AUUGAACGCUGGCGGCAGGCCUAACACAUGCAAGUCGAACGAGUGGCGCACGUGUGAAUAAUGUCUGGGAAACUCCCUGAUGGGGGGGGAUAACUACUGGAAACGGUAGCUAAUACCGCAUACCAUCAGAUGUGCCCAUAUGGGAUUAGCGAGUGGGUGGGGUAACGGCUCACCUAGGCGACGCUCCCUAGCUGGUCUGAGAGGAUGACCAGCCACACUGGGACUGAGACACGGCCCAGACUCCUACGGGAGGCAGCAGUGGGGAAUAUUGCACAAUGGGCGCAAGCCUGAUACAGCCAUGCCGCGUGUAUGAAGAAGGCCUUCGGGUUGUAAAGUACUUUCAGCGGGGAGGCGUUACCGGCAGAAGAAGCACCGGCUAACUCCGUGCCAGCAGCCGCGGUAAUUC
rnacentral:rRNA from 1 species